AACCCUUACAAAGCAAGUAGACAGAACAGACCUGUAAGAUGUGGGAAAUGCAAAAAGGAAGGGCAUAACUCAAGAGGGUGCAAGGCUGGCAUCACUGGGGAGACACCAUGGCAGAGGAGACAGAGACUUCAAAGAGAAAAAGCUGCAAGGGAAGGGGUGCCUGCACCUAGAUCUGCACCUCAGCCUGCACCUCAGCCACCAUCCCAGCAGCCUACCUAGACCUACAACAUGAUGUCUGCCACUCAGCUUUCAUCCUCACAGUAAGGAAAUCAACCUAGGCCAUCUCACAAGAGAGCAAGAUGGUUCUCUUCCUCACAACCAGAGUUUCACACACCUAGGGAGACCUGGGAUACCUUACCAAGUUCUUCACAGCCUUCACAUGCAAGUGGGAGCACUGGUGGUGUGAGGACUAGAGGACAGCUUGCUGCACAAAGGCCACCAAAAAUGAAUCCAGUGGGUGGAAAGAGGAAAGAGUAAAGGAAAGAAAUGAAUGAAGC